CUCAGAAGUGGGACACAGCAUGUAAUUUCUGAGAAGGUUUCAGAAACUUCAGGGACCUCUUGCAGGCUGAAAAUAAGACCACAAUAGAGACCAGAUGGCUCCAACUCAGGGUCUCUUCAGGUCAUAUGAUGUUAAGACUGAGAGGAAGCCACAGAGGCUGACAGGAAGCACUCACUCCCCAGCUUCCUUCUCUGCUCCAGUUCCUAGGACCAUUCCUGGGGCUCAAUGGACUCUCUGCACCCUCUGCU
rnacentral:lncRNA from 1 species